rnacentral:rRNA from 1 species
UACGUAGGGGGCGAGCGUUGUCCGGAUUCAUUGGGCGUAAAGAGCUCGUAGGCGGUUCGGUAAGUCAGGUGUGAAAUCUCCACGCUCAACGUGGAGGGGCCACCUGAUACUGCCGUGACUCGAGUCCGGUAGGGGAGUAUGGAAUUCCCGGUGUAGCGGUGAAAUGCGCAGAUAUCGGGAGGAACACCAGUGGCGAAGGCGGUACUCUGGGCCGGAACUGACGCUGAGGAGCGAAAGCGUGGUAGCAAACAGG